GGAGAUAUAGCUCAGUUGGUAGAGCGAUAGGCUGUUAACCUAUGUGUCGAGAGUUCAAGUCUCUCUAUCUCCUCCA
rnacentral:tRNA from 1 species